CAAAUUGUACUUUAAAAGUUCAGACAAAUCUCAAAGUGUCAUAUAUCAAAAGCUAACAAGUUAUUAAGUGAUUAGUAAAAAUACAUAUCCAAAUGUUUGUUACGAAGAAGAAAAAUCAUUGUUAAUUUGUCUUUAUGUUGUUCAAUCCAAUGUAAAAACAUUCAUCAAAGGAACAGGCCACCUAUGAAACAUAACAAAAGAAAAGAGGGUAAGCACCAGAGUUUCCAGACUUGACUGCAAACAGUAACUCAUCACACAUGAAUUAACUUACCUUGUUCUGCAAGAUAGAGACAAACGUAAAUGAGUAGAUAAGUCAGAAGAAGUUGUUUGCUGAUCAUUAUGCUUACCUGCUAGUCAUACAAAUUUCUUUUCCAGAUUAUGAUUGGCCUAAUUAGUUGGCAGUUCAGAUGGAUGAAGUUAUGCACACUGAGACUGUUCUUAAUUUAGUAGCAAUAUCCUCCACUCCAAAGCCAGCCCAUGAUAUUGGCAACUCAUAGUACACAUGACUAUUCAGCAAACUCUUGAAGGCAGCCAGCUUCACUUCAAUGGUCCAGAAAGACAGACACCUGGAAACGAUCAUGACGUAAGCCAGAGAAAGCUGCAGAGUACACUUCAAUGGCCCGAGGGUCAAAGCCCCACAAGUAACAAAUCAACAAAAACCAACCCACUAGCAAAUCCGGAAGCUGUCUCCUGGACUGGAUCCAACAUGCACACCGAUGGGUAAUCUUAAAUUCAUCUGAGUUGAGUUGACAUUAUCAAUUCUGGUCAAGAAUGUCAACCUAAAGAUGGGUUAUGACUCAAGCACAGUAGUCAAAGUUUCAUCCUCAAAAGACAAUAUAAGGAACGUAAGAAAACAUUCUAAGGGAUUUGAAACAACAAUCUUCUUGUCAAUGUAGGGAACAAACCCAGAUGAGCAUCAGGGAUCUAGUGCCCACAUCUUGCAUCAGGGAUCCAUACACCUAAUUCCUCUUAUCGUACACGGAUCACAGAGGAGAUAAAAAGCAGAUGAAAAAGAGAGACAAGAAAGAGGGUCGGCGGCGCACCUCGGCCGGCCACAGAGGGAGGAUACCAGAACUCACGUGCGGUGGAGUAAUAGGACCCUCGUUGCCGCCGCCGCCGCCUCGAUUGCUUCGGAGACAGCGGGCAGAGAGAGAGGUCGGAGAAGUUACGGGAAGUGGGAAUGCAGCACAAGUGAUGUACCGUGGGUAAAGCGGGUUGCGUUGAGUUGGAUGUCGACGUACAUCGAACCCCUCGUGCCGGUCCAACUAGUCACCGGGUUGGUUUACAGUUGACCCGGCUUAGAUGUCCG
rnacentral:lncRNA from 1 species